GACCGUUCGUCGGUCUCAUUUCAUGACUCACAGUCUAAGGCCUCCUUUACUACUUCUCGUGGGUCCGUGAUUGAUCUGAGAAAGCUAGAGAUGGCUGCCUUGCGGAGAUAUUUGCUACACUUUAAUCUUAAGAGGUUGAUGCUCUCAUGCACUUGCCACAAAAGAUAAGAGAGCAUCAUACGGGAAAAAGUAGACUUUUGGCUAAAGAUGGCGAAAUCGGCACAUCAAGUAACCGUAUAUGAUUAUAACCCCAAAAGAUGAUAAAGAUAAAUGAUUUUGCGUCUGAACUGAAACGCUACCACCUACCAGAGGCAGAGUCACAUAGCCGACCCAGACCUGUUUCAACCCGAACCGACC